AAAACAAACCUUAGCUAGCAGUAUCCUGAGUAGGGCGGGACACGAGGAAUCCUGUCUGAAUCCGGGUCGACCACGAUCCAACCCUAAAUACUAAUACCAGAUCGAUAGUGCACAAGUACCGUGAGGGAAAGGUGAAAAGAACUGAGGUGAUCAGAGUGAAAUAGAACCUGAAACCAUUUGCUUACAAUCAUUCAGAGCCCUAUGUAGCAAUACAGGGUGAUGGACUGCCUUUUGCAUAAUGAGCCUGCGAGUUGUGGUGUCUGGCAAGGUUAAGCAAACGCGAAGCCGUAGCGAAAGCGAGUCUGAAUAGGGCGCUUAGUCAGAUGCUGCAGACCCGAAACGAAGUGAUCUAUCCAUGAGCAAGUUGAAGCUAGUGUAAGAACUAGUGGAGGACUGAACCCAUAGGCGUUGAAAAGCCCCGGGAUGACUUGUGGAUAGGGGUGAAAGGCCAAUCAAACUUCGUGAUAGCUGGUUCUCUCCGAAAUAUAUUUAGGUAUAGCGUUGUGUCGUAAUAUAAGGGGGUAGAGCACUGAAUGGGCUAGGGCAUACACCAAUGUACCAAACCCUAUCAAACUCCGAAUACCUUAUAUGUAAUCACAGCA
rnacentral:rRNA from 1 species